rnacentral:rRNA from 1 species
AGACACAGUAGGAAUAAGGUAGUAUUAUACGUAAUUGAAACACCUUUUUGAGUCUAUCACAUUGCUGGGGACAAUAGCGUCUUCCAUUUUACUUUGAAUCAAAGAAAAUGACUUAAUCUAAUUAUUAACCAGCGUAAAUUAUUCAAGAAUGGUAUAAAAUGUGUAUAUGACUAUUGUUGCCUGAGAAUUGUGUUAAGUGAAUUUCAUUUAACAAAUAAAAAUUCGUGACACGGCUGUGUAGUGACACGAAUGAUUUAACCGCUUUUGGCAAUUCUAAAUAACAACAGGGUAGUGUGAUUUUUUCACAAGUACAUAAAAGUUGAGGAACAAAGGUUAAUAAGAAAAUGAGAACAACGGCUAGGUGGCAGUUUAUGCGGGGCACAGAUCCCAUAAAGAGUAGCUGGGUAUAUCCUAAAUUUUAGAAAAAUUUGGGGAAAAAGAUAUAUUUUUUCUUUUGAGUUUUUAUUUAAUAUAUAAAAUUUAUAUAAAUUUAAGAUUUUUUAAGACGAAUUUGUAUAUAAGCGGAUAAGAUAUUUUACUUAUUCCCAUAUGUAUUUAAUCAUUAUCUUUUUAUGUAAAGUAGAAUUUAAAUUUUUAAAGCAAGUAAGAUUUUAACUAUAUCGGCAAUAGGUGUAAUAAAUAAAAUUAACAAUAUUUAACCGAAAAAUUUAAAUUUUUCGACAUUCGCGCGUAAUCAUAAGCAGACGUUUCUUUUUUAAUAACUGAUAUCAGUGGGGUCUUGGUUCUGUGUGAGACAAACCUGAAAGGGUGGUUAUAAAAGCUAAUUUUCUACGGAUUUUGUUUUAUAAGGGAGAGACACAUAGGCUAGUUAUUAGAAUAAUAACUAUGUCUUUAUUAGAAUAAUAACCCUGUGUUUUUAUUAGAUUAUCGUAAAGACUAUAAUAUGUAAUUAUGUAUUUAAAGUUGCUAAAAUCCAAUAUUUAAAUAUUGUGAAUAGUGAUUUUGAUAAUGACUUGUCAAGUUUAAUGGCAUAAUCUUGCUUAACUGUCUGACCUACGCGUCUAUCAGUCGCGUAAGCGGGGCAU